GCACUAUCUCCUUGUGCUAGGACCAGCUUUUGCUGCCCCUCUCCCUCCUGGAGGUGAAGGAUGGAACAGACAUAGCUCUGGCUAUCAGGGUGAAGAAGUCUGAGUUUAGAGUUAACUUGAGAGUACAGAUUCGGGAAUCAGAGGUGGAAAUCAAAUAUUGCUUCAUUUCUAACAUGGGUUUGUAGAUUGUGGUUCUGAUGGUCAGCCAUGUCUAGGUUCCCUGCUCCCCACCCCAUCCUGCACUUCUGAACCUGAGGCCACCCAACCAGGGAGGUCUGCAAGUGUACCAGAGCCCAGGCCUGACAGAAAGCAUUAGCUACACUGCUGAUACGGGAUAGAGGUGGCCACCCUGAGACCUUUCCCCAGAUGGUGGGCCCAGACCACUAACAUGAAGACCAGUAGAACCCAGUGAUCCCCAGCUUUGCUUUGGGCAGUCAAACCAAAGAGAAAGAGAGAACUAAGAAGGAGAAGAGUCACUUAUGCUGUUUUUUCCCUGUCAAAAUCAAUUUUAUUGAGAUACACUUACGUACAAUAAACCACACUCAUUUUAGGUAUAUAGUUUUGUGAGUUCUGACAAAUGAACACCCCUAUAACCACCACCAUAAUCAAGAUAUGGGCUGUUUCCAUCAUCCCUAAAAGGUCCUUCUGCCCCUUUGUAGUAAAUAUCUACC
rnacentral:lncRNA from 1 species